rnacentral:rRNA from 1 species
GACGAACGCUGGCGGCGUGCUUAACACAUGCGAGUCGAACGGAAAGGCCCUGCUUUUGUGGGGUGCUCGAGUGGCGAACGGGUGAGUAACACGUGAGUAACCUGCCCUUGACUUUGGGAUAACUUCAGGAAACUGGGGCUAAUACCGGAUAGGAGCUCCUGCUGCAUGGUGGGGGUUGGAAAGUUUCGGCGGUUGGGGAUGGGCUCGCGGCUUAUCAGCUUGUUGGUGGGGUAGUGGCUUACCAAGGCUUUGACGGGUAGCCGGCCUGAGAGGGUGACCGGACGGAGGGGGAACGGAAGGGGGGCAGGAGUCGGGCGGAGGGCAGAAGGGGGGAAAGUUGGACACAGCGGCGCAGCGUGAGGGAGGGACCCCGGGGGGGGGAGAACGGCUUUCGGGAGGGAAGCCGGCUUCCCCGGUGAGGAGGCGGGGUGACGGGAGAUGGAUAAGAAGCCACCGCUAACUAAGUG